UUCAAAACAUACUACUUUAAUGAUGUAAAGGUUCCCAUAUUAACUCCUCAGUCUUUUAGAUUCUUUUUCUCAUUUAGGUUUUCCAGAAUUUAUGGAUAAUUUAGCAAUCAAGCAGGGAUGGCACCCCGUUCUUGAAAAGAUGGCUAUGGAAAAACCUGUGUCUAACAACAUGUACCUGACAGAGGGCAACAAUUUUGCCGUUAUUACAGGGCCAAAUUCGAGCGGCAAAUCAACGUUGGCAUGGAUCUGCCGGAGGAGAGGAGUUUCUGGUGGGCUCCCAGUGACAUCUGAUGGAGUGACAGUGAGAGCAUCUCAUAGGGUCUGGGGGAGCACCUGGAUGCACUUGGACCCGGAGCACCGCUUAAAGGAGGUGUCCCUCCCCGGUGCCCUCAAUCUGUCACAAGAA